rnacentral:rRNA from 1 species
GAAUCUUGCGCAAUGGGCGAAAGCCUGACGCAGCGACGCCGCAUGCGGGAAGAAGGCCUUCGGGUUGUAAACCGCUUUCAGGAGGGACGAAGCCACUCGGGUUAAUAGCCCAGAGGGUGACGGUACCUCCAGAAGAAGCACCGGCCAACUACGUGCCAGCAGCCGCGGUAACACGUAGGGUGCAAGCGUUAUCCGGAUUCAUUGGGCGUAAAGAGCUCGUAGGCGGCUUAGCAAGUCGGAUGUGAAAACUCCAGGCUUAACCUGGAGACGCCAUUCGAUACUGCUAUGGCUAGAGUCCGGUAGGGGAGCACGGAAUUCCUGGUGUAGCGGUGAAAUGCGCAGAUAUCAGGAGGAACACCGGUGGCGAAGGCGGUGCUCUGGGCCGGAACUGACGCUGAGGAGCGAAAGCGUGGGUAGCAAAC